UUACGGUCAAAUCACGCUGAAACACCGGUUCUCGUACGAUCACCGAAGUUAAGCAUCAUAGAGCCAGGUCAGUACUUAGAUGGGGGACCGCUUGGGAACACCUGGUACUGUAAG
rnacentral:rRNA from 1 species